AGGGUUUGAUCCUGGCUCAGGACGAACGCUGGCGGCGUGGAUAAGACAUGCAAGUUGAGCGAUCAGCGACCUGAUGGUAACUGAAGGUUGAGAUAGCAGCGAACGGGUGAGUAACACGUGGGAAUCUGCCCUAAAGUUCGGAAUAGCCCAUCGGAAGGUGGGGUAAUACCGGAUGUGAUCUUCGGAUUAAAGGCCUCGGCCGCUUUGGGAUGAGCCCGCGCUCCAUCAGCUAGUUGGUAGGGUAAAAGCCUACCAAGGCGAUGACGGAUAGCUGGUCUGAGAGGACGGUCAGCCACACUGGAACUGAGACACGGUCCAGACACCUACGGGUGGCAGCAGUCGAGAAUCUUGGUCAAUGGGCGAAAGCCUGAACCAGCGACGCCGCGUGGGGGAUGAAGGCCUUCGGGUCGUAAACCCCUGUCGGUUGCGAGUAAACCCUGUCUUUGACAGGGCCACAACAAGCGUUGUGGGUUGAUAUUAGCAGCAAAGGAAGGGGCGGCUAACUCCGUGCCAGCAGCCGCGGUAAUACGGAGGCCCCAAGCGUUGUUCGGAUUUACUGGGCGUAAAGGGUGCGUAGGCGGUGAGAUAAGUUUGGCGUGAAAGCUCCGGGCCCAACCCGGAAAAUGCGCUGAAAACUAUUUCACUAGAGGAUUGGAGGGGAGACUGGAAUUCCUGGUGUAGCAGUGAAAUGCGUUAAUAUCAGGAGGAACACCAAUGGCGAAGGCAAGUCUCUGGACAAUUCCUGACGCUGAGGCACGAAGGCCAGGGGAGCGAAGAGGAUUAGAUACCCUCGUAGUCCUGGCAGUAAACGGUGCGCACUUGCUGUGGGCGUGUUCGACCGCGUCCGUGGCGAAGCUAACGCGUUAAGUGCGCCGCCUGGGGAGUACGGCCGCAAGGUUAAAACUCAAAGAAAUUGACGGGGGCCUGCACAAGCGGUGGAGCAUGUGGCUUAAUUCGAUGCAACGCGAAGAACCUUACCUGGGCUUGACAUGUUUGUCGUAGUCCCGUGAAAGCGGGACGUCAGUUCGGCUGGACAAUCACAGGUGCUGCAUGGCUGUCGUCAGCUCGUGUCGUGAGAUGUUGGUUUAAGUACCGCAACAAGCGCAACCCCUGUGUCCUGUUGCCACGGAGAACACGUUUCUUCAGCACUCUGGACAGACUGCCCCAUUUUUAGUGGGGAGGAAGGUGGGGAUGACGUCAAGUCAGUAUGGCCCUUACGCCCAGGGCUGCACACGUGCUACAAUGCCUAGUACAAUGGGAAGCAAGACCGCGAGGUGGAGCCAAUCCCCAAAACUAGGCCCAGUUCGGAUUGGAGUCUGCAACUCGACUCCAUGAAGUUGGAAUCGCUAGUAACGGCGCAUCAGCUACGGCGCCGUGAAUACGUUCCCAGGCCUUGUACACACCGCCCGUCACAUCAUGAAAGCCGGGAGCACCCGAAGUCCGCGAUUACGUGGCCGAAGGUGAGUUUGGUAAUUGGGAUGAAGUCGUAACAAGGUAGCCG
rnacentral:rRNA from 1 species